rnacentral:rRNA from 1 species
UACAGAGGUGGCAAGCGUUGUUCGGAAUUACUGGGCGUAAAGAGCGUGUAGGCGGCCAGAUAAGUCCGCUGUGAAAUCUCGAGGCUCAACUUCGAGCUGUCGGUGGAAACUGUCUGGCUAGAGUCCGGAAGAGGAGAAUGGAAUUCCUGGUGUAGCGGUGAAAUGCGCAGAUAUCAGGAAGAACACCCGUGGCGAAGGCGGUUCUCUGGGACGGUACUGACGCUGAGACGCGAAAGCGUGGGGAGCGAACAGG